AUUGAACGCUGGCGGCAUGCUUUACACAUGCAAGUCGAACGGUAACAGGCCGCAAGGUGCUGACGAGUGGCGAACGGGUGAGUAAUGCAUCGGAACGUGCCCAGUCGUGGGGGAUAACGCAGCGAAAGCUGUGCUAAUACCGCAUACGAUCUGCGGAUGAAAGCGGGGGACCUUCGGGCCUCGCGCGAUUGGAGCGGCCGAUGUCAGAUUAGGUAGUUGGUGGGGUAAAGGCUCACCAAGCCAACGAUCUGUAGCUGGUCUGAGAGGACGACCAGACACACUGGGACUGAGACACGGCCCAGAGUCCUACGGGAGGCAGCAGUGGGGAAUUUUGGACAAUGGGCGCAAGCCUGAUACAGCAAUGCCGCGUGCAGGAAGAAGGCCUGCGGGUUGUAAACUGCUUUUGUACGGAGCGAAAAGGCUCCCUCUAAUACAGGGGGCUCAUGACGGUACCGUAAGAAUAAGAACCGGCUAACUACGUGCCAGCAGCCGCCGUAACAC
rnacentral:rRNA from 1 species